UGCAAGAUAUGGGUUGCUCAAAAUUGCAGGAAUGAAUGAAUGAAAAAGACUGAAGCACUAUAGCUGUACAAAUGACAAUGAACAUGGAAACAAGUAAAAAAGCAACCUUUGCAGAUUUUAAGUUGUUUGUGUCAAAUUGGUACGAUGAACACAUACCCAUCAAUAUGCUGAAAGUAUUAUUCAAGGACCAUGUAGAAAAUACUUUUGCAUUACAUAUUUCUUCUAAGACAAUAACCUUAAUGAAUAUGCUGAUAACAUCUGGAAGUUUGAGUCCAACAGACCUCACUCUCCUCUAUGAUACUAUUAAGGCAACAAAGCAAUUUGGUCUGGAACAAGAAAUUCAAAAUGAAAUGCCAUCAUUCCAAAUUGCCAAA